rnacentral:snoRNA from 1 species
UAUAUCAUGUGAUGAAAUUGGAAUAAUCUUAGGACACCUUCCUACACAGCAGAACACUGCUGUGGAUGAGAAUGACUUUUCCAUACUGAUGAUAUA